rnacentral:tmRNA from 1 species
GGGGGUGAAACGGUUUCGACGUUGAGUGUUGAUGCGUUGGAAGCGAGCCGGGGUCUCCGGGGCCUCGUUAACAAACCGGAACAACCAAUAGGUGCCGAAGAUAACUUCGCCCUGGCUGCCUAAUUAAGUAGCCCGUCCUCCUGGCUGGCUCCCGCCUGGUCAGGUCAGGGCGUCGCAAUGCGGGAUGCUCCGCACGGGAUUCCGGGACUGUGUGGUCAAGACCAACUCCGGAUAGACGCAGGGAAACUCGUCGUCAGAGUUCCUGUUGUCGAAGCUCGCUGACGACUGCGCUCGGAGAUGCCAGUGCUGACGGCUUAGCGGACCGGGGUUCGACUCCCCGCACCUCCACAA